CAGCAGCUGGCCUUCAGCGGCAUAAGAACGUGAGAAAUGCCCCACGGGAUCAGACCCAUGGUCUGUCUAGUCCAGCAGCCUGUUCUUACAGGGGCCAACCAGCUGCACAAGGAGGUGCACCAGCAGGACACCAGCAUGCAGCUUGCUCUGCUCGCAGUCUCCUAGCAGCUGGUCUUCGGAGGCGUAAGAACAUAGGAAGUAUCCCACUGGAUCAGACCCAUGGCCCGUCUAGUCCAGCAGUCAGUUCUCACAGUGGCCAACCAACUGCACGGGGAAGUCCACCCGCAGGACACUGCUUGCCCGGCUUGGAAUUUCCCAGCAGCUGCCUUCACAGGCAUAAGAACAUAAGAAACAUCACACUGUUGUAGCCUGAUGGCCCCAUUGGCUCAUCUUAUCCAGCCGCUCGUUUCAACAGUGGCCAGCCAGUUGCAUAAGGAAGUUCAGCAGCAGGACAGGAGAAAAAAACAGCUUUCCCAGCUCACCCAAGAAUCUCCUAGCCCAGGGGAAGUCACCCAGUCAGGAGGGCGAAUAGCUAUUGAUGGUCCAGAUGCUCAUGAAUUUCUCCAAACCUGUUUUGAGGCCAUUCAAGAUGGUGGCCAGCACCACCGAAGAACUGACGAAAUGCCCUGCUGGAUUGGACCGGUGGCACACCAGUCCAGUUGCUGGUCCUGACAAUAGCCAACCAGUUGCAUGUGGAAGCCUGCAAGCACAGGAAUGUAACAAUUGUUGGCUGGCUUCAGGCACACAGCGUCUUGUGUCAGAGGAGUCGCCAAGGCUAGGAGCCUUGGCAUGCCUUCUCUUAUGUCAAUUUGCCUUGCCAGAUCAGACCCAUGGCGGCUCUAGUCCAGCUCCCUGUUCUCACAGCGGCGACCAGUUGCAUAUGGGAGCCCACCAUCAGGUUGUAAGGACAAUUUGCUCUGCUCACAGACUCCCAGCAACUACCUAUGGAGGCAGUCUUCCAGUAAUAGAGAUAACACAAAGAGGCCUUUUGAAGGUCCUCCAAGUUAAUGAGAAGCUACACAGAUAGGAAAAGAGGACAAUCCCACAGAUGGCCACAUUGUUCAGACUGUCACAACUCACCAGACCUCACAUACGAUCGCAGGCAAAGGUUAGCAAGUUAUUACGGGCCACUUUGUUUGGCUGAGGAGGAGCUAGAAUGGGCUUAUGGGAAGCUCAAAGUAUAAAGGUCUCUUAACCAUCCAGAUAUGACAAGAGGGCGUUCUAAAUUGAAAAAGUGCAAGCAAGAAGCCCGCUGUCCUAGGAAGCAGCAGCAAGAUCUUGGCUCUCCUUUCCACCGUGCAUAAAGUUCACCUCCAAAGUUAUUUUGUGGGUGACUCAGAAGUGUUAUGGGGGGAGGGAUUUCUGAAUUGCCAGAAACCCCCCUCCUGAGCUUCCAACCUCAGCAUGCACAGAGUGGAUGAGUUUUUGCCAAACUGGGGGAGAGCAGAACUAAGAGCCCACGGCCAAAAACGCUGGCUGAUAAUUCCUUCCUGCAACGUCCUUGGAGAAGCCAUACAUACAACCACCCAUGUACCUGUAUGACAAAUUGAGCUUCGACAGUUAAGUUGAGAAGACCGUAUACCAGCUGGAUGACGCCAGGGACGACAUGAACACCUGUUGCAUGCUGUGGAGUGUGGGAACCCAGAAAAAAAUCCACGACAAACCCACAGGAAGAACAUUGCAAAGACUUAACAUUAAGACAUUUUCCCUUCUUUGUUCUUUCCUACU
ensembl:lncRNA